AAAACAGAUUUCCUAUUGAAAAUGCAUUUUUGUAGUUCAACAUUCAUUUUCUACAUAAAAUAGACCAUCCAUGUAAAAUUUGAUUUACUGGUGGAUAGAUCUAUGUUUAUGGAAGCUUCAUUAGCAAAAUGUUUUUGAAAUACGUUUUUAUAAUGAAUUUGUGCGUUUGUGAAUACCGGCAAGUAUGCAAAAAACAAUGGACAAGAUUUACUUUUGGAUUUAGGUGCUCCCGUUUCAAAAGGUAAGAAACAUAUUUUUUCUAUAUUAUCUAUGUAUAAAAUACACACUUACUAUUUAAAAAUGGUUGCUACACGCAUAAAAGAAAAAAAAAAGUGAAAGAAAUGGUUUGUUUGUCCUAAAUUUUGAAAAAACUAGUCCUGACAUCAUGUCCUAUUUUUAUCCAUCGCCAAAUACCCUGUACAUUAUUUUUAAAAUAACAUUUAAAAAUGAUCGAUUUUAGUUUUAAAAUACAUCUUUUUUUAUUUCAGUAAUAAUAAUGUAUUAUUAUUUUUAUUUUUGGUUAUUUAAAAAAAAUAUGUUUUUGUUUAAAUCUCGUUUUUUUUUAACCAAUCGGAAUGUCUAACGCCAAAAUCGAAGGUCAACCCAAUUUUUUCAACGUGUGUUUUAAAAAAGUUAUUCACUCAGAGAAACUCCGAGAGGCAACAUAUAGCAAAGGCAAUAGCUGAGUUUAGAUAGUACAGACAGUUUAGUUUAGAAUAUUAACUUCUUAGGUAAUUUUUAUGCUUUAGUAAUCAGUCCAUCGGCUUUGGUCAUUUGAAAGGUCACUAUUUUACGCCAUAGACUGUAACAACGCGUACGUAUGCGAGCGAGCGCCCGCAACCAUUACAACAAAUACAAAGACAGAGAUUAGUUGAAGAAAAUAAACAAAAAACAUCAUGCACCAUGCAACUCUUAAUUAAGUUAAGCCUAUUAUUAGGCCUAGAACUAGAUCUAUUUAUCUUUUAUUUAAUAUUAGAUCUUUUCUAGUCUGAAAUUGUACAUCAAUCUAAAAUUGUUAUUAAUAAUAUGUUAAGACACGAAGAAAAGAAAAAAAAAGUGACUUUUCAUGGUAGGGUGGGCCGAAGAGGGGGCUUAAUAUAUAUUAGUUAUAAAUACAUUUUAAAGUUGUUUGUUUGUUUUUUCAAAUGUUCUAUAAAUAUACUUUACUUUGUGACACAGUUUUAUGUUAAUAAUAUUGUGAAUUUGUGAAAUUCAUGGAAUAUUGGACAUAUCUUCUGUGAACGGUGGAUUUUUCAUUAUUAGGGGUAAGUGUGUUUGAUCUCAUUUUUUUAUGUUAAAUACUUGUCUGAUGGUAAUGAAUUUACUUUUUUUAGAUUCCUCUGUUCUUGUGCAUUAAAAUUGAUACAUAAUAUGUCAAAACUGAUAAUGGUUUUGUUAUUCAUGGUGAUGAUAAAGUAUUAUUUACAACCGAAUUUUUAACGUAGGUGGUGGGGUCUGAUGAGGCUCAAUUAAUAGGCAUAAAUGUUUUAAGAAACUAGUUUUUAUUGUUUUUUUUCAAAUGUUCUAUAAAUAUACUUUACUUUGUGACACAUUUUUCUGUUAAUAUUACUAUGAAUUUGUGAAAUUUAUGGAUUAUUGGACAUACCUUCUGUGAAUGAUGGAUUUGUCAUUAUAAGGGGUAAGUGUGUUUGACCUUAUAUUUUCAUUGGAAAUAAUUGUCUGCUGCUUCUGAUUUUAUUUUUUUUGAAUUCCUCUAUUCUUGGGCAUCAAAAAUGAUAUAUAAUAUGUCAAUAAAAGACAAUUUGAAAUUGGUCAAAAAAUUGGUCCCAAAAGUAGAAUGUUGAGAGCUCAAUCUGUUUUCCGCCUUAA